rnacentral:misc_RNA from 1 species
UACGGAGGGUGCGAGCGUUAAUCGGAAUUACUGGGCGUAAAGCGCGCGUAGGCGGUUCGAUAAGUCGGGUGUGAAAGCCCCGGGCUUAACCUGGGAAUUGCAUCCGAUACUGUCGAGCUAGAGUCUGGGAGAGGGAAGGGGAAUUCCGGGUGUAGCGGUGAAAUGCGUAGAUAUCCGGAGGAACACCAGUGGCGAAGGCGCCUUCCUGGACCAAGCCUGACGCUGAGGUGCGAAAGCGUGGGGAGCAAACAGG